rnacentral:lncRNA from 1 species
AAGCCUUUGUUAAUUCCUUGGUAGUUUUUGCAGUUAAUAAAUUAGUAGAAGAUGGGUUAUCACAAUAAUCUUGAUAAGGUCCGUAAUAAGAGGGCCAAGUUUCCCUACACAAAGGAGCAGAUAAGGAACGUCUUCAAACGUCAUGACAAGAAUGGAGAUGGUCAACUUUCCAAAGAUGAGCUGGACGCAGCCUUCAAAGAACUUGGCUCGAUAUGGCCUCCUGGUAGAGCUUGGUUUGCUCAAAGGUAUGCAGAUGACGACGGCGAUGGCUUCAUUUCUAUAGACAAGGAGCUCAGCAAGCUCGUCCAGUAUGCCCUAGAAUUGAAGUAUACACUUAAGUAAUUAUAGUAUUAGUGGGUAACUAGUUCUUGUAUGUGCUUGCUAUAGAUAUAUUCUCAGCAAGCUCGUUGACUAUGCCCUCAAUUGAAGUUCUCUAUAUAAGUAAUCGUAGUGGUGGAGCUAAACUUGGUGUCUUAGUGACCACAACCACUUCAAGUCUAUAUGUAACUCCGUCUGUGUGUAAGCGUCUUUAAUUACUUGUAAGCAGCCGUAGUACCUAUAUAUGUGUGCAAGGUUGAAGGAACGAAAGAGGUGACCUUUUGUUUCCCUUCGUUACCAGGGAAGAUGAAUUUGAACCCUGAUUAUGUAUAAUAUAUAGUGAUUAACAAGAAUAAAGUAACAAACUUUGUGUAUUGAUAUCUAUUACGUAUACAUGUGUACGUAGGUGUGUCUAUAUAUUUAUAUAUGUACAUAUAUAUUGCAUUACAUACGUAUACAUACACAACUUACACUGAUAUUGUAUUACAUUCCCAAAUUCCUUCCCGGUCAAAAAGUCAACUUUUAUACUAAUAAAAUAUUCUAGGGGCAAAAUAGUCUUUUAUCUGAAUAAAUUAACAAUUAAAAAUUUAUUUAGGACUGGGUUGUUACAUAAACUCUUAUAAAUACCUCCUUAUGGAGAAGAAUAAAGUUAACCUAAUACAUUCAAACCAUAUUCAUAUUUUAGCACUAUGAAUGUUACCUUAUCGAGCAUGAGAUGUAUUUUGCUCACCCAGUAUCUCAUUCUCCUCAUCUAGGGGAGAGUAGCGUUGAAGAGUCGAAAUGGAUGGAGUUAUUUCAGGAUAAUAGUGAGGUUAAUUGGCUAGCCAUGUGUGACUUGACAACUAGUAACGAACCAAUCUGCACAGAACUGGCCAGUACCGCACUUGUGACUGAACCUACCAGUACCGUCGCACCCACAGCUUAUAACGUCUAUGCCGCCCCUCUCUCUACUACCUUUCUAGUACCCGGCCCCGAGUCUCCUCAUUCUAACAUUCUUGAGGUAAGUAUAUAAUCUUUGAUUAAUACUAACAAUGAUUGUGAAAUUAGUAAGUGUAGUGUGUAUCAGUUACCACCAAUGACUAAUCAUAGGAAGCCACCAUACGGAUAUUCACCAGAGCCUGCGACAUAGGUAAAGUAUCUUAUUUCUCAUUAUAUGUCUACUCAUAGAUUAUCUGAAGCUUGUCAGGCAUUUGUAAAUCAAAUGUCUAUGAUGACUAUUUCUAGUAAAGUACAAGAUGCAAUAUCUGAUUCAAAAUGGGCCAGUGCUAUGACUGAAGAGAUGCAAACUCUUGAGAAAGAUCAAACCUAGGAAUUGGUGCAACUGCCAGAAGGGAAGAAACCAGUUGGUUGCAGAUGUGUUAUAAAACACAAACCGGAUGGUUCUAUUGACAAGUAUAAAGCCAGACUUGUUGCCUGAGGUUUUUCCCAGACUUAUGAUAUUGAUUAACAUUUGCACCAAUGACUAAGAUCAAUACCAUUUGAGUUCGAUUAUCUUUAGCUGCAAACUUUAACUGGCCAUUGCAGCAAUAUGAUGUAAAAAAAUACCUUUUUACAUGGAGACUUACAAGAGGAAGUCUACAUGUCAUUGCCGCAAGGUUAUAAUGCUCAUACUGAUGCCAGUGUUCUGCGUAAAUUGAAGAAUACACUGUAUGGAUUGAAGCAGUCUCCGCGAACUUGGUUUAGGAGAUUGCGUCGUGCCAUGAAAAAAUAUGGUUAUGAGCAGAGCAACGCUCAUCAUACUUUAUUUCUUCAAAGGAAGAAUGGUAAGUUAACAGUUCUUAUUAUUAAUGCGGAUGAUAUGAUCGUGACUAGUGAUUGUCUUGAUGAAAUUGACAAAUUAAAAGGCUAUUUAGCUUCUGAGUUUGAUAUGAAGGAUCUCGGUGGAUUAAAAUAUUUUUUAGGUAUUGAGGUAACUUGUUCUGAACAUUGAAUUUUCUUGUCACAAAGAAAAUAUGUUCUUGUCACAAAGAAAAUAUGUUCUUGAUUUGCUAAAGGAAUCAGGUAUGCUUGGGUGUGAACCGAUUGGUACUCCUAUAGAACAAAAUCAUGGUUUGGAAGAAUAUCCAGAUCAAGUUCUAAGUGAUAAGGGACGAUAUCAAAGGUUGGUUGGUCGUUUGAUUUAUUUGUCUCAUACUAGACCUGAUAUUGCAUAUGCAGCAAGUGUUGUAAGUAGGUUCAUGCAUAAUCCAAGUCCAUGAUAUAUGGAUGCAGUAGUCUGAAUUUUGAGGUAUUUGAAAUUUGCACCAGGAAAAGGUAUGAUGUUCUUAAAGCAUGGGCAUGUAAAGGUUGUGGGGCAUACAUACUCAGACUGGGCAGGAAAGGAGGAUAAGAGGAGAUCGACAUUUGGUUAUUUCACGUUUGUUUAGGCGGUAACUUGGUUACUUUAUAGUCUAGGUGAUUGACCCCAAGCUUUUUGGAUGUUAGGUAUAUAUAGUUGGCUAUCGCGUUUAAGUACUUUUGGUUUCAGAGCGACACCCUUAUCCAUAUGGCAUCUACAACACAACAUAAAACAUAAGUUCUUUUCUUUUCAUAUCGGAUAUUGCUUUCGAGUUUCAUAUCCACCACGCUGUGUGUUAUCCCUAUGGCAUCUACGAUGGGGAUGCUUGUCCCAAUAGUCAUAGGCCAAAUCUCACCGAAAAGUCGAGCACUUUUUAGAAAGAAAGAAAGAAAGAAAGAAAAAGAAAAAAAAAAAAAAAAAAAAAAGGGUUUCACAAACCGAAAAGUUGAAUUAUUCAUUUCAACAAUUGGCAGAUGAAGUAUUUUUCUUAUCAACUUUACUACCAAAGAAAAGCUCACAAACCGUUUUAGACCAAACAAUUAAGCAUCUAUUAUCACUACUUGCAAGGUUCCAUGCUUUAUGUGCACGCAAAAUCUAGUCCAUAUAUCAUCCAUUGGAAUCAAGUAUUAUUUUUAAGGAGAGUGAUUGGCUCCUUGCCAAACUAUAUAUCAACAAAAUAUUAGCUAAAAUAUUGACAAUGUACCAUAUAUUGUAGAUAUGUUAGUACUCGAUACCAACAAAUUCUUUUCCAGAAUAAAGACCCAUGAGGCAUGUGACUUGAGGAAUAUUAGAAUACUUUUUUAAGGUCCAACAUGUGCGCAGGGGACCAGGCAGAAUCUUGUAUAAAUGGGAUUGAAUUCAUAGUGCAAGUCAUACAAGCCCUAGUUAAUUCCUUAUCCUUGGUAGUUUUGCAGUUAAUAAAUUAGAAGAAGAUGGUUUGGGAAACAAAAAGGUAUAAGGCCCCGAGCAAGGUUCCCUACACAAAGGAGCAGAUAAGGGACGUCUUCAAACGUCAUGAGACGAAUGGAGAUGGUCAACUUUCCAAAGAAGAGCUGGAUGCAGCCUUUGACGAACUUGGCGCGAAAUGGCCUCCUUUUAGAGCUUGGUUUGCUCGACGGUAUGCAGAUGACAACGGCGAUGGCUUCAUUUCUAUAGACAAGGAGCUCAGCAAGCUCGUCGAUUAUGCCCUAGAAUUGAAGUAUAUACUUCAUUAAUUAUAGUAUUUGUGGGUAACUAGUUCUUGUAUGUGCUUGCUAUAGAUAUAUUCUCAGCAAGUUCAUUGACUAUACCCUCAAUUCAAGCUUUCUAUAUAUGUAACUCUGUCCGUGUGUAAGCGUCUUUAAUUACUUAUAAGCCACCGUAGUUCCUAUAUAUGUGUGCAAGUUGAGGGAACAAAAGAGGUGAUCUUUUGUUUCCCCUUGUUACCAGGGAGGAUGAAUUUGAACCCUGAUUAUGUAUAAUAUAUAUAGUGAUUAACAAGAAUAAAGUAACAAACUUUGUGUAUUGAUAUCUAUUACAUAUAUAUAUAUGCGUACGUAGGUGUGUCUAUAUAUUUAUGUAUAUACAUAUAUAUUUUAUUACAUACGUAUACGUACACAACUUACACUGAUAAAAGCUCCGUGUUAUAGAGAUUACUGCAAUCCACUCAACACCACAUGUGGAAGCAUGGACAUUAGCAGAGUAACUUAAUAUGAUUCCAUACCAAUAUCUUGUUCAAGUGGCGUAGAGAUUUAAAUUUAAAAUCUUCAUAUAAGUAUAUCAAAAAAGAAAAAGAAGAAAAGAAAGAACUCUCACACAACUUUUCAUUGUUAUACACUCUUUUCCUAAGGGUGUACAUCCGUUCAAAACUAAUACAAUUUUACCAAUCUGCAUCUGAUUCAAUAUAUAGAUUGGAUUAUGAUUUUCUAAUCCAAUCCGAUCUCAUUAGAAGUAUAAAUCCAAUCCGAUCCAAUUAAAAUUGAAUUAGACUGGAUUGAAUGAUCAAUUUUUAUAAUGAAAAAUAGUAAUAACAAAAUAUAAAACAUUUAUCUUCAAGUUGAAUAUAAUCAAACAUUUCAGAACUUGGAGAGCACGAUGCCAUGCAGAUACCAACAGCAAAGACAGGUCCAUCCUCAACGUCAACGACCUUGUCAAAUAUGCCCUAAAACGUGGCUAUAAACUCUGAUUAACUCAGAAGCAGAUGAGGGGUUUUAGUCAACUAAUUAAUAUAAUAUAUAUGUGUAUAUGUGUGUAUGUAUGAGAGUUUUUAAUUACUUAUCUGCGAGUUCCAGCCAUAUAUACAUAUAUGUGUGUAUGCUAGAGAAGGAAGGAGGUGAGCUUUUGUUUCCCCCUCUUUGGCAAGGUUUGAUGAAUCAGAAUUAUGAUUUAUGUGGAAACUUUUGUAUUUCGCAAUGUGAUUUAAUAAUCAAAAAAAUUUAUAUUUAGAUAUCCUUUAUUAAGUAUCACCAAUUUAAUAUAAUUUUAUAAUUCACACCAACUAGCUUUUAAUAUAAUGAUAAUUGUCUCCACUUAAUUGAAUAAAGUUGCUACUCCGCUCCCUUCGCGGCCUCGGCAUCCCUGACAGCUUGGAUAGCAGCACCACCAAAUCUUGAUUUGAUUCAUAUGAAUACAACAUAACCUGCUUUGUAAACCUCGUAUGUAUAGUUUGAAGAGGAAAAGAAUUAUCAUCCAUACCAAAUCCAGAAAAACCAAAUUAUGUAUAUUAAAUGAGUUAGUAGUUACAAGGUCAAUAAUUUAUGGAGUAUAGGUGAUUGACCCCAACCUUUUUGGAUGUUGGGCAUAUAUAGCUAGCUGUCGCGUUGAAGUAGUUUUGGUUUCAGAGCGACACUCUUAUCCAUACAAUAUGUCGGUGUGCCGAUGAAAGAAUCUAUUGAUUUGUCCUCGCAAUGCAAGUGAAGGAUAAACGGCAAACUGUGUGAAUGUUUUUACUGUGAUCAGUAUGGUUGUAGAAACCAAAGCGAAGGCCUAGCUAGUUGACCCAAGUCAAGCAAAAGAAUCUAUUAGAAUUCUUCAUGUAGGACGUACGCAGGCUUAGUUUUUGUGCUUGCUGCUGAUUAGUCUGUGAUCAUGUAAUAUAAUGUCUCUGUGUAUGUACAUAUAUGCGUAUGUUAAUGAAUUAAUGACCAGUGAGCAGCCAUAGCUCUGUUUCAUAAAAUGGAUAAGCACAAAAUUUAGAAAAUAUGUGAAGGGCAUUAGUUAAUGGUUAUGUUGUUUUAUUGUUAAUGUCUAAUCUAUAUUUCAGUAAUACCAUGUGACACCAAAUGAGUUCUGUUACAAUCACCUUUUUCAUUUUCUUUUAUGAAAAAAAAGAAAAAGAAAAAAAAAACUUGAAACCAAAUGAGUUUGAUUCACAUGAAUUGCAUAAUGGGUAUAAGAUUGUCGCAAGUAAUUUGUUGAAGUGUUUCUCAUACAAUGACUCCAAAAUCAGAAGCCAAAAAGGGGAAGAAAAAUUAUGAAGCCAGAACCUGGCUUACCUGACGAAUCAGCAUCCAACGAGAGAAAAGUUGAAGCCGAUCGAGUUUAUGAUUUUCUUGGAGGACUUGAUUCACCGUAUGAUGGUGUCUAUAGCCGUAUUCUUACUCUUAGUCCUAUCCCGCCCCCUCUCGAAGCCUAUACCAUGGUCAUGGAGGAAGACACUCGUUAGUCUGCUAUGCUUAGAGGAGGUUCGAUGGCCCUCAAAGUCGACCCAGCCCGUCAAUGACCGGUCACUACCCAUCCAGAAAAUUUUCUUCUUCUGCUAGGCCUCGUUCUUCUGGAUCUAUCCCUAGCUCUCUUGAAGGUCCUCCUAAGUGUCGUCAUUGUAAUGGGAAUCACUAUUCUGAGAAGUGUUUUAAGGAGCAUGGUUAUCUUGAUUGGUUUGCUAACUACACGGCUCGUAUGUAUGGUCCUAAAGCCGCCUAUACUAUGACUCAAGAUGAGGCUCGUCCUCUGGCCCUUUCUACAAAUCUGUGUGCUUCUGAUACCAUGCCAUGUAUGGGUUCUAAUACUUGGAUAAUUGACACUGAUGCUUCUGAUCAUAUGACUUUUGAUAAUAAUAUGUUUGAUGAGUUGUCCCAUAACCCUCGUGACCCUUAUAUUACUAGUGCUAAUGGUUUACCUUCCCCAGUUAUUGGUGAAGGUACCAUCCAACUCGCUCAUUCUUUACCUCUAUCCCAUGCACUCUUGGUUCCAAAUAUUCGUUGCAAUUUGUUAUCUGUUGGGCGUUUACUUGAUACACUUAACGCGUCUGCUACUUUCUAUUCUACCUAUUGUUUUUCCAAGAUCUCAAAACUCACGAGAAGAUUAGGCAUAGUAAAUAGAUGGGGGGUUGUAUUACUUAUAGUUAUCAGUUGCAGCAGUUCGUGGUUGUGUCGCUAAUAAAGUUUAGAAUGGCAGUGUCAAAGACAAGCAACAACUUUGGUUGUGGCAUCGUCAUUUAGGACAUCCGUCCUUUGUUUAUCUUAAACAUUUGUUUUCUUCAUUAUUUAGUUUGUGUGAUGAGUCUAGCUUCAAAUAUGAAACUUGUGUAAUGGCCAAGAGCUACCGUAUUGUUUUUCCCUUGAGUAAUAAUAAAGCUGCAUUGCCUUUUGAGUUAGUACAUUCGGAUGUAUGGGGUCCUUCCCGUGUGACUUCUAAUGGUUUCCGUUGGUUUGUCACGUUUAUUGAUGACUGCACUCGCUUAACAUGGGUAUAUUUGAUGAAGCAUAAACAUGAUGUUGCCUCUAUUCUUCCUAUUUUUUGUGCUAUGGUGUCUACUCAGUUUCAUGCCAGUAUUAAAGUAUUUCGGACUGAUAAUGGAGGUGAAUAUGUGAAUCAUACCUUGACCCAUUUCGUCCGUGAUCAAGGUAUCAUCCACCAAACUACCACUCUAUUCACUCCUCAACAGAAUGGUAUGUCUGAACGUAAGAAUCGUCAGUUACUUGAAGUUGCUCGCUCCCUUAUGUUGGAUAUGUCUUUUCCCCAUCAUCUUUGUGGACACGGUGUCUUGGCCACUGCUCAUUUGAUUAACCGUACUCCUAGUCGGGUUCUUGAUUUCAAGACUCUGCUUGAUGUGUUAUGUACCCAUACUUCUCCAGUCUCGGUCUCUAAGUUACCUCCAAAGGUGUUGGGUGUGUUGCUUUUGUUCAUGUCUACUCUCAUUAACGGAGUAAACUGGACCUGUGUGCGCUUCGCUGUGUCUUCAUUGGCUAUUCUACCACUCAAAAGGGUUACAAGUGCUAUCACCCUCAUUCACAGAAAGUACAUGUUACUUUGGAUGUCAUCUUUCACGAAAAAGUAUCGUAUUAUGUCUCUUCCUCCUCUCUAAUUCAGGGGGAGAAGGGGAGUGAAUUGAAGAGUUUCGGAAUGGAAAAUCAUGGACGUAAAGAGGCAUGUGAAGGAAUUUCUGACCAAGUGCCAACGACCGGUCGUGUAAAGGAAGCAACCGGUCACCAAGUAAUCUGCCUGGAAUCGACCGGUCGAGCAGACGAUGACGACUAGUCGCAUGCCUAGAUGACUGAUGACUGCCAGGAAACGACGAUCGAUCGCUCAAAAGAUGACGAUCGGUCGCCUAUUGAAUUCUUUGAUGAAAUUUGCUCUUCGCCAAAAGAACGUGACAGUGAUACUGGUGACUCUUGUGAAGAUAAGAUCGAUAUAAGACCCCCAUCUGCUCUGCCACUGCCCCAAUCAACUCUUGAUAAUGAUGAAGUACUUUCUAAUGAUGUGUCUACUUAUUCAUUACCCCCACCCACUACUCGUGGUAAACCUAAAGUACAAUAUUCUAUUGAUAUACAUUCCAAAUCUAAAUAUCUCAUUAACCAUUAUGUGCCAACUCAUCGUCUAUCUAAGUCAUAUGCAUCAUAUUUGUGUCAAUUAUCUAGUGUUUGUAUGUCAACUAAGUUGCAUGAUGCUUUAUCUAAUCUAAAAUGGGUAGAUGCAAUGCAUGUUGAGAUGGAAGCCUUGAACAAGAAUGCCACUUGGGAGCUAGUUCCUUUACCAAAAGGAAAAAAGGCAGUUGGGUGCAGAUGAGUGUUUACUUUGAAGACAAUGCUGAUGGUUCCAUUGACCGUUACAAGGCAAGGUUGGUAGCAAAAAGUUAUACUCAGACUUAUGGAGUGGAUUACACAGCGACCUUUGCUCCAGUAGCAAAGCUCAAUACUGUGCGCGUACUCUUGACCUUGGUUGCUAAUCAUGAUUGGCCUAUGUUACAAUUCGAUGUCAAAAAUGCAUUCCUCCAUGGUGACCUCAAGAAAGAAAUAUACAUGGAUCCUCCGCCGAGUAUUCCUGUGACCUCUAAGGAGGGUAUGGUGUGCAAACUAUGGAAAUCCUUAUAUGGAUUAAAGCAGUCUCCAAGAGCUUGGUUUAGGAAGUUUGCUGCAUCUAUUAGGAAGUUUGGGUAUGUAUAAAGUAAUUCGAAUCAUACGUUGUUUCUGAAGGGUCGCAAAGGUAAAUUGACAGCUUUAAUAAUUUAUGUUGAUAAUAUAAUUGUAACUGGAGAUGAUCAUGCAGAAAUACACAGUCUCCAGAAAUAUCUGGCGUCUGAGUUUGAGAUGAAAUCAUUAGGUGACUUGAAGUAAUUUCUCGGGAUUGAAGUUGCUAAAUCUAAGCGUGGUAUUUUCCUGUUUCAAAGGAAGUAUAUUUUGGAUUUGCUUGCAGAAACUGGAAUGAUGGAUUGUAAACCAAUUGAUAAUCCUAGUGAACAAAAUCACAAGUUGGGGUUCUAUCCUGAUCAAGUUCCUACUGAUAAGGAGUGCUAUCAACAGCUCGUGGGGAAAUUAAUUUAUUUAGCUCAUACAUGUCCUGACAUUGCGUAUGCAGUGAGUGUAGUGAGUCAGUUUAUGCACUUGCCUAGUGAAGACCAUAUGGGAGCUGUGACGCGUAUUUUGAGAUAUCUCAAAGUAACUCCUGGCAAUGGGUUAAUGUUUUCAAAGUAUGGUCAUAUAGAUGUGGAAGGAUACACAGAUGCUAAUUAGGCAAGUUUAGCUAUUGAUAGGCGUUCUACGUCUGGGUAUUUUACGUUUGUUGGUGGUAAUCUUGUUACUUGGAGAAGCAAGAAACAAAAUGUGGUGUCUUGUUCUAGUGAUGAGGCUGAGUAUCGUUGGAUGGCCCAUGACGUAUGUGAGUUACUGUGGUUGAGGAGAUUAUUGAGAGAUCUUGGCUUUGGACCUAAGAAACCUAUGGAUUUAUAUUGUAACAAUAAGGCUGCGAUUGCAAUUGCUCAUAAUCAUGUACAACAUGAUCGUACAAAGCAUGUGGAGGUUGAUCGAAAUUUCAUUAAAGAGAAGUUCGAUGCGGAGAUUGUUUCCUUCCCAUUCAUCAGUUCUGAGUAUCAGUUAGCUGAUGUCCUUACGAAAGCUGUUUCUACAAGUAUCUUCCUCAACUCGCUUGACAAGUUAGGCAUGUGUGACGUCUUUGCUCCAACUUGAGAGGGAGUGUUGGCGAGAUAUCCUAACCCUAUUAGGAUAUUUCCUUCUUAUUCUAAUAGGAUUUUAUUUAUUUCUUUUUGUAUAGAUAUUACGUAAUUAGGACUUUUCUUAUUUCCUAGUAUAACCCUAUUAGAGUUUGUAACCUUGUAUUAUAAAUACCUCCUUUCGAAAAAUGAAAUACAUAUAAAAAAUAUUAUACCUAUAUUGUUUGACUAAGAUGAUGCAAGGGUUGAGUCUGAUAAUACGCAGGGUAGAAGAUGAAGAGGCGAGAGAACAUGUUUGUGUCAAACAUGUAUUUUAAUAAUUUUUUUUAAUAAAAAAAAAUGAAUUGAAGAGUUAACAGAGUUAAAAUGUUGUUAAAUAGUGUGCCACAUGUUACAAAAUCAAGGAGGAAAUGGGGACACAGAGAAUUUGGUAACAGAAAAAUUCAACUUGUAAGAGUAGCACUAGUUUAUAGUCCAUAGGUGAUUGACCCCAACCUUUUUGGAUGUUAGGCAUAUAUAGAUAGCUAUCGCGUUUAAGUACUAUUGGUUUCAGAGCGACACCCUUAUCCAUAUGGCAUCUACAACACAACAUAAAACAUAUGUUCUUUUCUUUUCAUAUCGGAUAUGGCUUUCGAGUUUCAUAUCCACCACGCUGUGUGUUAUCCAUAUGGCAUCUACAAUUGGGAUGCUUGUCCCAACAGUCAUACGCCAAAUCUCACAUAAUGAAUCUCGAUCCAACUUAAAGAGUAUAAGAUGGAGAUCUCAAGUACUCUUGAGUCUGAUAAUUAUAUUUCCAACGUUAAUUUAGGGGUUUUAGUACUUAUGAUUAAUAAUUUAUAGUUAAAAUGUUUUUAUAUGUUAUAUUAAAAUACUAUGUGCAAAGGAUUCACUAGUGUAGUGGUUUAAAGCAAUUUCUCUUUCAGACAACGUUAUAGGUUCGAAUUCUAAUAUCUGCUAGAAAGAAAGAAAGAAAAAGGUUUCACUCACAAACCGAAAAGUUGAAUUAUUCCUUUCAACAAUUGGCAGAUGAAGCAUUUUACUGUUAUCAACUUUACUACCAAAGAAAAGCUCACAAACCGCUUUUGACCAAACAAUUAAGCAUCUAUUAUCACUACUUGCAAAGUUCCAUGCUUUAUGUGCACGCAAAAUCUAGUCCAUAUAUAUGACUCGAUUUUUUUUAAAUAAUCAACUGUAGUUUACCAAUUUCAUCUGCGGAAAUUACAAGAGGCAACACUUAGAACAAGAGAAACCUAACUCAAAAACAAGAAGAACAAGAAUUUGUUUGAUAUUUCAUCCAUUGGAAUCAAGUAUUAUUUUUAAGGAGAGUGAUCGGAUCGAUGCCAAACUAUAGUAAGUAUAUAUCAACAAAAUACCAAACUGGAGUAUCAAGAAAAUAUUGAAUAAAAUAUCAAUAAUGUAUCAUAUACUGUAAAUAAAUUGGUACCCGAUACCAACAAAUUCUUUCCCAAAAUAGAGACCCUUGAGGCAUGUGACUUGAAGAAUAUUAGAAUACUUUUGGAGGUCCAACAUGUGCGCAGGGGAUCAGGCAGAGCCCUAUAUAAAUGGGCUCCCUCAUAGUGUACAAGUCACCCAAUUCAAGCCUUUGUUAAUUCCUUGGUAGUUUUUGCAGUUAAUAAAUUAGUAGAAGAUGGGUUAUCACAAUAAUCUUGAUAAGGUCCGUAAUAAGAGGGCCAAGUUUCCCUACACAAAGGAGCAGAUAAGGAACGUCUUCAAACGUCAUGACAAGAAUGGAGAUGGUCAACUUUCCAAAGAUGAGCUGGACGCAGCCUUCAAAGAACUUGGCUCGAUAUGGCCUCCUGGUAGAGCUUGGUUUGCUCAAAGGUAUGCAGAUGACGACGGCGAUGGCUUCAUUUCUAUAGACAAGGAGCUCAGCAAGCUCGUCCAGUAUGCCCUAGAAUUGAAGUAUACACUUAAGUAAUUAUAGUAUUAGUGGGUAACUAGUUCUUGUAUGUGCUUGCUAUAGAUAUAUUCUCAGCAAGCUCGUUGACUAUGCCCUCAAUUGAAGUUCUCUAUAUAAGUAAUCGUAGUGGUGGAGCUAAACUUGGUGUCUUAGUGACCACAACCACUUCAAGUCUAUAUGUAACUCCGUCUGUGUGUAAGCGUCUUUAAUUACUUGUAAGCAGCCGUAGUACCUAUAUAUGUGUGCAAGGUUGAAGGAACGAAAGAGGUGACCUUUUGUUUCCCUUCGUUACCAGGGAAGAUGAAUUUGAACCCUGAUUAUGUAUAAUAUAUAGUGAUUAACAAGAAUAAAGUAACAAACUUUGUGUAUUGGUAUCUAUUACGUAUA